ACUACGGGUGGCAGCAGUGGGGGAUAUUGCACAAUGGGGGGAACCCUGAUGCAGCGACGCCGCGUGGGUGAAGAAGCGCCUCGGCGCGUAAAGCCCUGUCAGCAGGGAAGAAAAUGACGGUACCUGAAGAAGAAGCCCCGGCUAACUACGUGCCAGCAGCCGCGGUAAUACGUAGGGGGCAAGCGUUAUCCGGAUUUACUGGGUGUAAAGGGGGCGCAGACGGCGAUGCAGGCCAGGAGUGAAAGCCCGGGGCCCAACCCCGGGACUGCUCUUGGAACUGCGUGGCUGGAGUGCAGGAGGGGCAGGCGGAAUUCCUGGUGUAGCGGUGAAAUGCGUAGAUAUCAGGAGGAACACCGGUGGCGAGGGCGGCCUGCUGGACUGCAACUGACGUUGAGGCCCGAAAGCGUGGGGAGCAAACAGGAUUAGAUACCCGGUAGUC
rnacentral:rRNA from 1 species